AGUUAUUUGUUUAGGAAACAAUAGAUUUUGAAAAUCUAUAAUAAAUGUUCGAAUCAUUUAAUAACUU
rfam:Helobdella robusta unplaced genomic scaffold HELROscaffold_20, whole genome shotgun sequence.